rnacentral:rRNA from 1 species
GACGAACGCUGGCGGCGUGCCUAACACAUGCAAGUCGAACGGAACUGUUUUGAAAGAUUUCUUCGGAAUGAAUUUGAUUUAGUUUAGUGGCGGACGGGUGAGUAACGCGUGAGUAACCUGCCUUCAAGAGGGGAAUAACAUUCUGAAAAGAAUGCUAAUACCGCAUGACAUAUCGGAACCACAUGGUUUUGAUAUCAAAGAUUUUAUCGCUUGAAGAUGGACUCGCGUCCGAUUAGUUAGUUGGUGAGGUAACGGCUCACCAAGACCGCGAUCGGUAGCCGGACUGAGAGGUUGAACGGCCACAUUGGGACUGAGACACGGCCCAGACUCCUACGGGAGGCAGCAGUGGGGGAUAUUGCGCAAUGGGGGCAACCCUGACGCAGCAACGCCGCGUGAAGGAUGAAGGUUUUCGGAUUGUAAACUUCUUUUAUUAAGGACGAAAAAUGACGGUACUUGAUGAAUAAGCUCCGGCUAACUACGUG